AUACGUAGGGGGCAAGCGUUAUCCGGAUUUACUGGGUGUAAAGGGAGUGUAGGUGGUCUGGCAAGUCAGAUGUGAAAGCCCGCGGCUCAACUGCGGGACUGCAUUUGAAACUGUCAGACUGGAGUGCAGGAGAGGAAAGUGGAAUUCCUAGUGUAGCGGUGAAAUGCGUAGAUAUUAGGAAGAACACCAGUGGCGAAGGCGGUGUUCUGGACUGUAACUGACACUGAGGCUCGAACGCGUGGGGAGCAAACAGGAUUAGAUACCCGGGUAGUCCACGCCGUAAACGAUGAAUACUAGGUGUCGGGUGGCAAAGCCAUUCGGUGCCGCAGCUAACGCAAUAAGUAUUCCACCUGGGGAGUACGUUCGCAAGAAUGAAACUCAAAUGAAUUGACGGGG
rnacentral:rRNA from 1 species